CGCGUAGGUGGUUUAGUAAGUCAGAUGUGAAAGCCCCGGGCUCAACCUGGGAACUGCAUUUGAUACUGCUGAACUAGAGUGUGGUAGAGGGAAGUGGAAUUCCGGGUGUAGCGGUGAAAUGCGUAGAUAUCCGGAGGAACAUCAGUGGCGAAGGCGGCUUCCUGGACCAACACUGACACUGAGGUGCGAAAGCGUGGGUAGCAAACAGGAUUAGAUACCCUGGUAGUCC
rnacentral:rRNA from 1 species